UUUAGUUCUGACAAUUGAAGAAGCUGGAGAAUUUCCACUAAGCCAACAUACUUAGUAUCUUCCAGCACCUACAAAUUUGAAAGUUAUCCAGUUCUUAAGUAUUGCCAUUUGGCCUGAGAAGAUAUUGACUUCUGGCCAUGUUUCAAAGAAGUGCACAUAUAUAAAUAUCUAUUCAAUCCUUUAUCUUCCAAUAUCCUAUAACAUGGAAAUGUAUAUUGCUAGGUCCUCUUUAUUCAACAGCAACUGAGUAGAACCCAUUAAUCCCUUCACUGGUGCAUUCAUUCAGGAAAUACAUUUUGAGUGCCUUGAAACUAUCUCCAAUGCCCAGCAUAGCCCAUAGCAUCUAGACUAAUAUAUGUGUGUGUACAUAUAUAUGAAUAUAUAUAGCAAUAUAUAUAUAUACUUCCUACCUUCAAUGACCUCGAAGUACAGCAAAUAAUUAUUAUGUGCUAAAUGAUGGAAACACAAAGAUAUACUAUGAAGAGAAGUAGGAGUUGGAGGACCAACUGUGUACAGAGACGAGAUCAUGGAAGAUCAACUGAGCGCCUCUGGCAAAACAUCAAGAGCAAAGAGAAGAUGGCCCAUCAUAAGCCAAAGCAAUUAAAUUCCUCUCCCUCUGGCCACACCAAAGAGCAUUUAACAUGCAUCAUGGUCUCAGGUCAAGAGUAUAUUCAAUAGUUGACAGUGAUGUGGCCUCUAGCUUUCCAGAAGAGAGGAAGUCACUGUCCAUCAUACAGUGCUUUAAUUUGAGAGGCUGAACUGAUGUCUGUGGAGAAAAGAACACGAAGGAAUAAUGUAAUAUGAAACUCCCUAACAUGAUACAUAUACAAAGACUAUUGAGAAAUCAAUGUGGAAAAUGCAAAACUAAGGGAGAAAGCAUUUUGAACCACUCAUCUAAGAAUAUGGUCAGUAUUAAAAAGACAAGAAUAUCAGAAAAAUCUCCCAAGUUAUGUUCAUAGGCUUAGCAGAAUAAAGGUAAGGCUUACUAGUUAAAUGAAUGAGAGAGGAGAAUUUUUUCUAAAUCUUAGAAAAUGUUCAGGCUCUCCCAUCUUUCUCCACACCCCUCAUGAGCAUCUCUGUAAAAACUGCCAUCAGGACCAAAGACAGCAGCUCUCAGUUUAACGUAGGUGCCAGUGACCAAACUACCGCUCAAGGAAAUAAGAGAGGAUACAAACAAAUGGAAAAACAUUCCAUGCUCAUGGAUAGGAAGAAUCAAUAUCGUGAAAAUGGCCAUACUGUCCAAAGUAAUUUAUAGAUUCAAUGCUAUUCCCAUAAAGCUACCAUUGACUUUCUUGAUAGAAUUAGAAAAAACCACUUUAAAUUUCAUAUGGAACCAAAAAAGAGCCUGUAUACCAAAGACAAUCCUAAGCAAAAAGAACAAAACAUCACGCUACCUGACUUCAAACUAUACUACAAGGCUACGGUAACCAAAACAGCACGGUACUGGUACCCAAACUGAUAUAUAGACCAAUGGGACAGAACAGAGGCCUCAGAAAUAACACCACACAUCUACAACCAUCUGAUCUUUGACAAACCUGACAAACACAAGCAAUGGGAAAAGAAUACCCUAUUUGAUAAAUGCUGUUGGGAAAACUGGUUAACCGUAUACAGAAAACUGAAACUGGACCCUUUCCUUACACCUUAUACAAAAAUUAACUCAAGAUGGAUUAAAGAUUUAAAUAUAAGACCUAAAAUCAUAAAAAUCCUUUGUAUCCCAAGUGCUCAGCACACAGUCUCUGACACUAAACAUUUGUUGAACUAAUUAAAUAGAGGAAAGAGAAUUAAAAUGCCAUGGUGAAAAAGAAGCAGCAUCUCUGCUGUCUACCCAACAGUGAUCUGUAUCUGUUUCUCACUUCUGCAUCUUAUGAAGUCAUAAAAUUAAAAGUUUUGGGAACCCUG
ensembl:lncRNA LINC02311 long intergenic non-protein coding RNA 2311